UACGAAGGGGGCUAGCGUUGCUCGGAAUUACUGGGCGUAAAGCGCACGUAGGCGGCUUUCUAAGUCGGAGGUGAAAUCCUGGAGCUCAACUCCAGAACUGCCUUCGAUACUGGAGAGCUUGAGUCCGGGAGAGGUGAGUGGAAUUCCCAGUGUAGAGGUGAAAUUCGUAGAUAUUGGGAAGAACACCGGUGGCGAAGGCGGCUCACUGGCUCGUAUCUGACGCUGAGGUGCGAAAGCGUGGGGAGCAAACAGG
rnacentral:rRNA from 1 species